ensembl:lncRNA
GUUCUAACGUAACUGCUCUACAACACUGAUAGGGUGAGAGCCAUCAGCUGGAGAAGAGGACACACCAAACAUCGUCCAUUGAGAUUCUGGAUCAUGCUUUGCGUCAUAUACGACAGAGGGGAAAAAAUACCGACCAAAACCAAGCUGGAUUGGCUUUUACCCACACAAGGAGGGACUGGGAGAGACACUUUCGAUAUUUUGGAUGUCUGAAGACACAAUGAAUCACUGCACUGAAUAAACCACAUCAUGCUCGAAUGGAUUUAUGUUUUGACCGGGCCGGGGUGUGUUUGUAUGGUGAUUGUUUUGCAGUGGUGUAAAUACUUUUCAGCAGCAGCUUAUCAUCUCUUGAUCUACGAGCUAAGCCAGAAUGGGAUAACUUCGAUGCCAACACUUGAAUGGAAACGUCAACAUCACCUCUGUGGGAGUUUUACUAUUGUGCGAAUGAUAAUUCAUAACCUCUCUCUGUUUAGGAUAAUGAUUUACACAUGUUGCUUUCAACUAAUUUCUUGACCUCGAUGGAGUAGAAUCCAACACGAUAUAUCUGGUAGUAUAGAAUUGGGACACAGCAGAUUCAGGAGAACAAUUGAUAGCUAUAUUGGAAUCAUCACCUAUCUGCAGAAAAGUGACAAUGCCUAACCAUGGCUAAUCUGAGAGCCUGGAACCAGUGUGUGCUCUGUCCUCACCAAACCUUUAAGAGCAAUCAAAGCUGUGCUGUUGUGUAUCCUAAACAUAACGUAAAGGUUCACUGUAUAAUACUAGACUUGGUUUCCUUCACUUUUGCGCACUGGUCUUUUUUUUCUUUUUGACUUGCUUCUCUUUUACUCCCUGCUAACGUCCACUAUGCCGCUUUUGUAUCAGUAGUCAAUAUAUCAAUGUUUUUGUUUAUAUUUCAAAUUUGAUUAAAGUAUGCGCGUCAUGGAAAUGUGUCUCCGUAUCUCUCAGCCAUACCUCACAACAAACACGAUUAUGAUCCUAAACGGUUUUCAAGGUUAGUCACACUAAACAUGACAUGAAAUCACUUCAAUGACAUGGAUUCCUUGGAACACCCCCUUGUGUUCUCCGUAAAACUGACGCACCCACUAUAACAAUUCAUGUGAAUAGGAGAAGGUCAUUUUUUUGUGUAGUCCUGGCACUAAUUUGCCCACUCUUUUGCAGGAUAUCUUAAAACGUGUAGUGUAUUUGAGGUUUAAAAAGGCUUCGGAAGUUCAUAAUUUCCACGUUGACAUUUCAGACUUGAUUUUCUCUUAUGAAGAAUAUAUCAACCCCUACAAAAAUGGCCAUUAAUUAUAAUCCACAUAAUAAUAUAGCAAACUGGCUCAAAUUAAGAUCUAAAUUUGUACCCAUAUCUAACCCAUUCUAAUGAUCCCUCAGCAAACUGAGUUUGAAUCAUGCUGAAAGUACAUGCUCUGACCCUCCCUUCUUUUUGAUGAUACAGACAAAGUUGUAGAACAGGUUCUGUAAUACUACAGAAUAGAGGAGUGGAGAGACCUAGGGUGUAGAGGUGCGGUACAAGACUUGAUUCUGUAAAGUUUGUGCCAUAUAAAAAACAGUAUGCACACAACAUCAAGCACUAGAUAAUAUUGUCCUCUAUGUUGCAGUAGAGCUGCAACUUUAUGUAAUACAUAUCCUAAGCAGAGGAUCGAUAAGGAGCUAACAGUUUGAUUUGUUUAUAAUACAUAUGCAUUUGCUAGAAAACCAUUUUCUAUUAGUAACAUUAUUGCAAGUCCUAAUAUUUUUUUAUACAGUAUCCACCUUCUAAAGUAAAUGACAUUGGGGCUGAAUUGACUUCCCGUCACGGAUGGACUGGGACAAGAAUUCAGCCCUGGCAUUUUAUCCGAUUAGACUGUCCUAGAGAUAUUAAUGACACUCAGGUGUGUCCAAUUUAUCAAAUCAAAUCAUACUUUUGUAAUGAAACAGCAGGGAGCAGGUUUCGAACCCUUGACCUUCGAGCCGGAGGUCCGGCGCGCUAUCGACUGUGCCGCAAAAGCAUGCUCGAGCGGCAGGGUCGAUUUCCGCGCUUAUAAACCCAGGGUCGUGCACCGAAGACAAGCACCGAAGACAAGAAGGGGGGUGUCAAUGUAAAUUGUCCCAAUUUUUAAGAAUUGCUCAGCAGUCUAAUGUCUUGGGGAUAGAAGCUGUUGAGGAGCCUUUUGGUACUAGACUUGGCGCUCCGGUACUGCUUGCCUUAGGGUACUGCUUGCCUUAGGGUAGCAGAGAAAACACUCUAUAACUUGGGUGACUGGAGUCUCUGAUGGUUUGGAGUUGUGCCUUGCCAUGCAGUCGAGGGUGAACAGGAAGUACAGGAGGGGACUGAGCAUGCACCCUUGGGGAGCUCCAGUGUUGAGGAUGAUCAGAGUGGCAGAUGUGUUGCAACCUACCCUCACCACCUGGAGGCAGCCCGUCAGGAAGUCCAGGAUCCAGUUGCAGAGGGAGGUGUUUAGUCCCAGGAUCCUUAGCUUAGUGACGAGCUUUGAGGGUACUAUGGUGUUGAUCGCUGAGCUGUAGUCAAUGAAUAGCAUUCUCACAUAAGUGUUCCUUUUCUCCAGGUGGGAAAGGGCAGUGUGGGGUGCAAUAGAGAUUGCAUCAUCUGUGGAUCUGUUUGGGCAGAAUGCAAAUUGGAGUGGGUCUAGGGUUUCUGGGAUAAUGGUGUUGAUGUGAGCCAUUACCAACCUUUCAAAGCACUUCAUGGCUACGGACGUGAGUGCCACGGAUCUGUAGUCAUUUAGGCAGGUUGCCUUUGUGUUCUUGGGCACAGGGACUAUGGUGGUCUGCUUGAAACAUGUUAGUAUUACAGACUCAAUCAGGGACAUGUUGAAAAUGUCAGUGAACACACCUGCCAGUUGGUCAGCACAUGCCCGGAGCACACGUCCUGGUAAUCUGUCUGGCCCCGCAUCCUUGUGUAUGUUGACCUGCUUAAAGGUCUUACUCAUGUCAGCCUCAGAGAGCCUGAUCACACAGUCGUCCAGAACAGCUGAUGCUCUCAUGCAUGCCUCACUGUUGCUUGCCUCGAAGCGAGCAUAGAAGUGAUUUAGCUCAUCUGGUUGGCUCAUGUCACUGGGCAGCUCACGGCUGUGCUUCCCUUUGUAGUCUGUAAUAGUUUGCAAGCCCUGCCACAUAAGACGGUGUAGUAUGAUUCGAUCUUAGCCCUGCAUUGACGCUUUGCCUGUUUGAUGGUUCGUCGCAGGGCAUAGCAGGAUUUCUUGUAAGCUUCCGCGUUAGAGUCCCGCACCUUGAAAGCGGCAGCUCUACCCUUUAGCUCAGUGCGAAUGUUGCCUGUAAUCCAUGGCUUCUGGUUGGGGUAUGUACAUACAGGCACUGUGGGGACGACAUCCUCAAUGCACUUACUGAUAAAGCCAGGGACUGAUGUGGUGUACUCCUCAAUGCCAUCGGAAGAAUCCCUGAACAUGUUCCAGUCUGUGAUAGCAAAACAGUCCUGUAGUUUAGCAUCUGAUUUAUCUGACCACUUUUUUAUAGACUGGUGCUUCCUGCUUUAAUUUUUGCUUGUAAGCAGGAAUCAGGAGGAUAGUGUUGUGGUUGGAUUUACCAAAUGGAGUGUGAGGGAGGGCUUUGUAUGUGUCUCUGUGUGUGGAGUACAGGUGAUCUAGAAUUAUUUUCCCUCUGGUUGCACAUUUAACAUGUUGAUAGAAAUUUGGAAGCACUGAUUUAAGUUUCCUUGCAUUAAAGUCUCCGGCCACUAGGAGUGCCGCCUCUGGGUGAGUGGUUUUCUUGUUUGCUUAUUUCCUUAUACAGCUGACUGAGUGCGGUCUUAGUGCCAGCAUCUGUCUGUGGUGGUAAAUAAACAGCCACGAAAAGUAUACCUGAAAAGUCUCUAGGCAAUUAUUGUGGCCUGCAAUCUAUCACAAUAUGCCUUACUUCAGGCAAGCAAAAUCUAGCGACUUCCUUAGAUUCGUUUACAAAGCUGUUGUUUACAAAUAUGCACAGACCACCCCACCUUGUCUUACCGGAGUGUGCUGUUCUAUCUUGCAAGUGCAGCAUAUAUCCAGCUACAGU